rnacentral:rRNA from 1 species
CUCCAGAUUGAACGGCGGCAGGCCCGCAAUACAUGCAAGUCGAACGGCAGGGCUUGCUUCUUUGCUGACGAGUGAUGGCGGACGGGUGAGUAAUGUCUGGGAAACCGCCUGAUGGAGGGGAUAACUCUACUGGAAACGGUAGCUAAUACCAUAACGUCGCAAGACCAAAGAGGGGACCUUCGGGCCUCUUGCCAUCGGAUGUGCCCAGAUGGGAUUAGCUAGUAGGUGGGGUAACGGCUCACCUAGGCGACGAUCCUAGCUGGUCUGAGAGGAUGACCAGCCACACCGGAACUGAGACACGGUCCAGACUCACGGGAGGCAGCAGUGGGGAAUCCACAAUGGGCGCAAGCCUGAUGCAGCCAUGCCGCGUGUGAAGAAGGCUGGUUGUAAAGUACUUCUGGGGAGGAAGGAGUCAGUUAAUACCUUUGCUCAUUGACGUUACCGCAGAAGAAGCACCAGCUAACCGUGCCAGCAGCUGCGGUAAUGAUGGCAGAUUACAAGCGUUAAUCGGAAUUACUGGGCGUAAAGCGCACGCAGGCGGUUUGUUGUGAAAUCCCCGGGCUCAACCUGGAACUGCAUCUGAUACUGGCAAGCUUGAGUCCGUAGAGGGGUAGAAUUCCAGGUGUAGCGGUGAAAUGCGUAGAGAUCUGGAGGAAUACCGGUGGCGAAGGCAGCCCCCUGGACAGACAGACCUCAGGUGCGAAAGCGUAGAACAAACGGAUUAGGCCCUGGUAGUCCGCCGUAAACGAUGUCGACUUGGAGGUUGUACGCUUGAGGCGUGGCUUCCGGAGCUAACCGCGUUAAGUCGACCGCCUGGGAGUACGGCCGCAAGGUUAAACUCAAAUGAAUUGACGGCGGGCCCGCAAGCGGUGGAGCAUGGUUUAAUUCGAUGCAACGCGAAGAACCUUACCUGGUCUUGACAUCCAGAACUUUCCAGAGAUGGAUUGGUGCCUUCGGGAACUGUGAGACAGGUGCUGCAUGGCUGUCGUCAGCUCGUGUUGUGAAAUGUUGGGUUAAGUCCGCAACGAGCGCAACCCUUAUCUUUUGUUGCCGGCGGUCUUGAAUAAAGGAGACUGCCAGUGAUAAACUGGGAAUUGGGGAUGACGUCAAGUCAUCGGCCCUUCUGACCAGGCUACAUUGACGUGCUACAAUGGCGCAUACAAAGAAGCGACCUCGCGAGAGCAAGCGGACCUGCUAAAGUGCGUCGUAGUCCGGAUUGAGUCUGCAACUCGACUCCAUGAAGUCGAAUCCUUCAGUAAUCGUGGAUCAAAUGCCACGGUAGAUACGUUCAGCCCGUACACCGCCCGUCACACCGCUGAGUGGGUUGCAAAAAGAAGUAGGUAGAUACCUUGGGAGGCGCUUACCACUUUGUGAUUCAUGUCUGGGUGAUCGUAACAAGGUAACCGUAGGGAACCUGCGGUUG